AGAUUUCCUCUCUCCAAAACCCUAACCUUUUCUUCAAUGUUCAUUCUUCACUUUUCCAUUUCUUUCCAUUUCCUCUUUGCAACACUCCACGUUCCCGACGACGAUCCGACGCUGCUUGCCGCCCUCGAUGCCGCCAUCACGACCCACUAUGUCGCCGUCGACGCCAUCGCUGCUCCGUUUGACGACGCCGCCGGCUCUCGCCGUUGUGCUUGCCGCCUCUAAACGACAAGCUGUUGCCGGGCCGCCACCCGUCGCUGCUGUUGCUCCACCGUCGCUGUUUGACCAUCGACGACGCCACUGCUGUUCAGACUUCAACGACGAGCCGCCACAUCUCGGCCUCCCGAUGACGAGCUGCUGCUAUUCGCGCCGCAACUAGGACAGAAGCAACUACCGCCUCGACGUAGGACAAAAACAGCUGCCGCCUCGACGUCCUUUUUGCCGAUCCUUGCCGAAUCCAGCAUUGCCCGCGUUGUGCCCAACGUUGCUCGAGGUCGCCCAACGUUGCUUCAACCCAGAACUAAACCCCAAGCCCGACUCACUGGCGACUCAGCUCAGCUGCGAGAUCUAGUCCAUGUAAUCGCUAGCCGAAUGAUAUGGUGAUAGAGUGGUAGGCGAGCCCUGUAAUGUUUACCAUCGACGACAGACGGAAGCUAAAAGGAAGUAUGGCGUGAAGGAGGCGCUUCAGUUGCCGUUGAGUAGCUCUUUAGUUGGAAGGAUCGAAAAUAUUGGAUUAGCAUAAGGCAAUGGAGAUAUUAUGAUUUUGGUCAAAAAGUGGUGCCACUACUUGUUUGUCUUCCUGGCACAGUAGGAAUGGUAGAUGUCUAUUACAAGUAGGUCAUGUGUUUGGUGAUGAAGGUAGUUUCAGUAUUUCAGCAGCAGCAAUAUGAGUAAUGAUUAGGAAUUUCUAGUUAUUUGCUAUUCAAUUUUAUCAUCUUACACUUUGACCACUUACUGGUCACUGCACAACGAACUUCUUUGGUGUUGUUAAUGUUGUUCCAAGGAUAUAGAGCAUGAGUUUUCCAUAAUUGGCCUAUUUUAAAAACUGAGGGUUAUUGGGUGAUUUUUGUUGAUAUUCCACUUGUUUGGAACCAUCGUGAAUGGAUUUAGGCAUUUGAAAAGUUCUUGAAUGCUAUCAACAUUCAUCAUGUAAGUACUCCGUUGGAAUUGGAAUUACUUUAUCUGUCUGUUUGGCAUUUGUUUACAUUGUU